rnacentral:rRNA from 1 species
GCUGACGAGUGGCGAACGGGUGAGUAAUGUAUCGGAACGUGCCCAGUCGUGGGGGAUAACUGCUCGAAAGAGCAGCUAAUACCGCAUACGACCUGAGGGUGAAAGCGGGGGAUCGCAAGACCUCGCGCGAUUGGAGCGGCCGAUAUCAGAUUAGGUAGUUGGUGGGGUAAAGGCCUACCAAGCCUACGAUCUGUAGCUGGUCUGAGAGGACGACCAGCCACACUGGGACUGAGACACGGCCCAGACUCCUACGGGAGGCAGCAGUGGGGAAUUUUGGACAAUGGACGCAAGUCUGAUCCAGCCAUGCCGCGUGCGGGAAGAAGGCCUUCGGGUUGUAAACCGCUUUUGUCAGGGAAGAAAAGGGUGUUUCUAAUAAAGACGCCUCAUGACGGUACCUGAAGAAUAAGCACCGGCUAACUACGUGCCAGCAGCCGCGGUAAUACGUAGGGUGCAAGCGUUAAUCGGAAUUACUGGGCGUAAAGCGUGCGCAGGCGGUUAUGCAAGACAGAGGUGAAAUCCCCGGGCUCAACCUGGGAACUGCCUUUGUGACUGCAUAGCUAGAGUACGGUAGAGGGGGAUGGAAUUCCGCGUGUAGCAGUGAAAUGCGUAGAUAUGCGGAGGAACACCGAUGGCGAAGGCAAUCCCCUGGACCUGUACUGACGCUCAUGCACGAAAGCGUGGGGAGCAAACAGG